UUUAUUGGAGAGUUUGAUCCUGGCUCAGGACGAACGCUGGCGGCGUGCCUAAUACAUGCAAGUCGAGCGAAUCUGAGGGAGCUUGCUCCCAAAGAUUAGCGG
rnacentral:rRNA from 1 species